rnacentral:rRNA from 1 species
GACGAACGCUGGCGGCGUGCCUAACACAUGCAAGUCGAGCGGAGUCGAUCGACGGAAGCCUUCGGGCGGAAGAUGGUUGACUUAGCGGCGGAUGGGUGAGUAACGCGUGGGCAACCUGCCUCGAAGACCGGGAUAACAGCCCGAAAGGGCUGCUAAUACCGGAUGUGGUCAAGGAUCCGCAUGGUAUUUUGAUUAAAGGGGAAACCCGUUUCGAGAUGGGCCCGCGUCCUAUCAGCUAGUUGGUGAGGUAAAAGCUCACCAAGGCGACGACGGGUAGCCGGCCUGAGAGGGUGACCGGCCACACUGGAACUGAGACACGGUCCAGACUCCGUACGGGGGGCAGCAGGUGGGGAAUCUUCCAACAAGUGGGACGAAAGCCUGAUGGAGCGACGCCGCGUGAGGGAAGAAGGCCGUUCGGGUUAGUAAACCUCUGUCAUGGGGGAAGAAGUAAGUGACGGUACCCCAAGAGGAAGCCCCUGCUAACUACGUG